UUUGGGCAACAAUUGGGCGAGCCAGCCAGGAGACGCUCUCGGACUACCUUGGGGCUGGACGACAAGAUCGGGAAAAGGGGUCCGUGAAGUGCGCACCAGACCGCAUUUGGAGUCUGUCACGGGCACUGGAACCGUGAGUCGGGGCACCCGGGAAGUUAAAGGCUCUCCUUGUAUGAGUCACCCAGGCUGAGCGGGUCUGAAGAGACGGCGCCAGGGGUUCGGCAGAUCUGUUUUGUCUUCCCUACAUAGGUUUGCUGCACCCUUCCAGAGCCUCCCGCUUGAUACACCGAUCCACAACUUUAAACCGGGUGACCAAGUCCUGGAACAGAAGUGGAAGAAGAAUCCUCUCGCGGAAAGGUGGGAAGGACCAUACCAGGUGUUGUUGACUACACACACGGCUGUUCGUUUAAAAAACAAUGACAAGUGGACUCACUGUUUGAGGGUAAAGCUUUUUCGUCAGGAGAACACCAACUCCCAGGGUGUGGUCACUCCGAAAGCUGAUAACACCCGGGAACAAAAAGCCGACAAGUGGACAAGUGAACCAGUAGGAGAUCUGAAGCUAUGUUUGCAAAAAUGCGAACCCUAGUCUUAACACUCUUGUCUCUUUUAGGUACAUCAAACCCAGCGGCUGUGUCAGCCUGUUCAUAGGCAGUCUUAGAGAAGGGAAUAGUAUCGCAUUUCUCACGUUUGCAGCAGUCAAAGUCCUUAAUUUCUAAAGCCUACUUAUUUCCCAUUUCCUACUGCUGCCCUCAGCAAGAGAUUAUGAUAGAAUUCGUGGUCACCAUAGGCCACAAGGUUAGGUGUGUCAAGAUGAACCAGGCACUCUGGAAGACAAUCCUCAAAUAUCGACCUUCAAGUCUCCAACCUGUUCCCACCAAUGUAAGUGGCCCCUCAAUUACUGCCAUUUCAAAACGUGAGGGCCCACCUAUAAACCCAUGGGUGGGAAAUUCCUGGGUAACCCUCCUCAGAGACUCA